rnacentral:rRNA from 2 species
AGAGUUUGAUCCUGGCUCAGGACGAACGCUGGCGGCGUGCCUAAUACAUGCAAGUAGAACGCUGAAGUCUGGUGCUUGCACUAGACGGAUGAGUUGCGAACGGGUGAGUAACGCGUAGGUAACCUGCCUCAUAGCGGGGGAUAACUAUUGGAAACGAUAGCUAAUACCGCAUAACAGUAUUUACUGCAUGGUAGAUACUUGAAAGGAGCAAUUGCUUCACUAUGAGAUGGACCUGCGUUGUAUUAGCUAGUUGGUGAGGUAACGGCUCACCAAGGCAUCGAUACAUAGCCGACCUGAGAGGGUGAUCGGCCACACUGGGACUGAGACACGGCCCAGACUCCUACGGGAGGCAGCAGUAGGGAAUCUUCGGCAAUGGGGGCAACCCUGACCGAGCAACGCCGCGUGAGUGAAGAAGGUUUUCGGAUCGUAAAGCUCUGUUGUAAGAGAAGAACUGUGAGAAGAGUGGAAAGUUUCUCACUUGACGGUAUCUUACCAGAAAGGGACGGCUAACUACGUGCCAGCAGCCGCGGUAAUACGUAGGUCCCGAGCGUUGUCCGGAUUUAUUGGGCGUAAAGCGAGCGCAGGCGGUUUGAUAAGUCUGAAGUAAAAGGCUGUGGCUUAACCAUAGUACGCUUUGGAAACUGUCAAACUUGAGUGCAGAAGGGGAGAGUGGAAUUCCAUGUGUAGCGGUGAAAUGCGUAGAUAUAUGGAGGAACACCGGUGGCGAAAGCGGCUCUCUGGUCUGUAACUGACGCUGAGGCUCGAAAGCGUGGGGAGCGAACAGGAUUAGAUACCCUGGUAGUCCACGCCGUAAACGAUGAGUGCUAGGUGUUGGGUCCUUUCCGGGACUCAGUGCCGCAGCUAACGCAUUAAGCACUCCGCCUGGGGAGUACGACCGCAAGGUUGAAACUCAAAGGAAUUGACGGGGGCCCGCACAAGCGGUGGAGCAUGUGGUUUAAUUCGAAGCAACGCGAAGAACCUUACCAGGUCUUGACAUCCCGAUGACCGCCCUAGAGAUAGGGUUUCUCUUCGGAGCAUCGGUGACAGGUGGUGCAUGGUUGUCGUCAGCUCGUGUCGUGAGAUGUUGGGUUAAGUCCCGCAACGAGCGCAACCCCUAUUGUUAGUUGCCAUCAUUCAGUUGGGCACUCUAGCGAGACUGCCGGUAAUAAACCGGAGGAAGGUGGGGAUGACGUCAAAUCAUCAUGCCCCUUAUGACCUGGGCUACACACGUGCUACAAUGGCUGGUACAACGAGUCGCAAGUCGGUGACGGCAAGCUAAUCUCUUAAAGCCAGUCUCAGUUCGGAUUGUAGGCUGCAACUCGCCUACAUGAAGUCGGAAUCGCUAGUAAUCGCGGAUCAGCACGCCGCGGUGAAUACGUUCCCGGGCCUUGUACACACCGCCCGUCACACCACGAGAGUUUGUAACACCCGAAGUCGGUGAGGUAACCUUUUAGGAGCCAGCCGCCUAAGGUGGGAUAGAUGAUUGGGGUGAAGUCGUAACAAGGUAGCCGUAUCGGAAGGUGCGGCUG